rnacentral:misc_RNA from 1 species
ACGGAUACAGACUCACCCAUCAACUCACCAAUCGACAUGCAGGCGUUGGUGCGGUUCCCGAUGAACGCCGUAGCGGGGGUGCGCCGUGCGCCACGCACGCGGGCUGUGCAUGUGCGCCGCGCCAGUGUUGCCAUGGUGGAGCCGCAGCGCACCUUUGCAGCGAACCCUCCUUCCUCGCCGCUUUCAUUGUCUUCUAUGGGCGUGGCCACAGCGGAGGAUGCUGCAGCAGCGACAUCUGCCAGGUGCGAGGGUACCAUGGCAGGCGCGGCUGAUUCGUCGCCUUCUCAUAACCCUCCUGCGCAGACGGCGAAGGGGUUCCGCAGCAGCACACAAUUCCGGAUGAGCCCCGCACAAGUGAAUGAGCAAAACGUGCCGAGUGCGAGAGAGGUUGUGCAGAUGAUUCCUACGCUCCAGGAGCUGCGAGCGCAGCUGCCCGAUGCGCUGGAGCUGGAGCGGAUGUACAUCCCACACCAAUCGGCGCUGGGGGCGAACGGCGUCGCUGGACGGAGCGAGACGAGCGGCGAGCGUGCAGAUGCCACCACGGCCUCCUCGGCACCAUCGUCACUGUCUCAGAAGAUGAUGGGCCCUCUGGAGGCCUUGUUUUUUGGGUCUGCCAACGACGAAAUUGCUGCGGCGACUGAAGCAACACCGACAACAGCGUCGCCGCAACGCCCGCCGUCCCGGGAACAUGUCCUUCUGGCCUACCGUGCCCUCUUUUGGGGCACCGCGUUUGCGCUGUUGGGCUUUAGUGCGACGGUGUCGACCGCCAUGUACCUGUGCGGGUAUCACAGCCUGCGCGACCUGCAACAGGGGGUGCGCGACAAGAUGCGCCACGAUGAGGAGCGCCUGUACGCGAUGGCUGCUCCUGCUGCCACGGGGGAAGGCGCUGCGGUGGACACUGUGAUGAAGCAUUACGUUGUUGAUGUCACGCACCCCACGGAGGCGUGGCGGCAGUUGCAGGAGAUUUGGAGUGCCUUGCAGCGUCUGGGCGAGGAGGAGGAGACGGCGAAUACGACGGUGGCAGCUGCUCAGUAGAUGGGCCCCGUAGCGAUGUACUCAUGACGACGGACGAGUCUGUUUUUCUCAUCCGUUGUGCGUGCGAUCAUAGCAGCAGGGCUGCAGGGGCUGCAUCACCAGUGACCGGAGUGGCAAGGAGGGAGAGUGACCGGCCAACGCCGCGGUCACGCCGCUCUUGCCCUCGUACUCUCCACCCCCUCCCCGCCUGCUGCGCUGAUGCCCGCUCCCCAUCUUUGUGUGAGGGUCUUCCUGCGGAGGGGCGUCCGCUCGCACAGGAAAGUAAGGAUAAGCUCCGUUAGCGGAGCGGCCGCAUUAUGGAUUAAGAGCAAGAGAACAACCGAAGCGUUGCAAAAGGAGGAGCAACGCAAACUGAGGCACACGGUGCGCUCCCGCCGCCGACGCUACGGCUGAGGCUCGGGCCGGCGGUGGUGGUGAGGGGGAGAAGAUCGAGGUUUACGUAAUGGCCAGCCGCCUUCCCUGCUCUUCAUCGCUUCCCUCCCACCUCUUUCGAAG